rnacentral:rRNA from 1 species
ACAAGCGGUGGAGCAUGUGGUUAAUUCGAAGCAACGCGAAGAACCUUACCAGGUCUUGACAUCCAACGAAUCCUUCUGAAAGGAAGGAGUGCCUUCGGGAGCGUUGAGACAGGUGGUGCAUGGUUGUCGUCAGCUCGUGUCGUGAGAUGUUGGGUUAAGUCCCGCAACGAGCGCAACCCCUAUUGUUAGUUGCCAUCAUUCAGUUGGGCACUCUAGCGAGACUGCCGGUAAUAAACCGGAGGAAGGUGGGGAUGACGUCAAAUCAUCAUGCCCCUUAUGACCUGGGCUACACACGUGCUACAAUGGUUGGUACAACGAGUUGCGAGUCGGUGACGGCGAGCUAAUCUCUUAAAGCCAAUCUCAGUUCGGAUUGUAGGCUGCAACUCGCCUACAUGAAGUCGGAAUCGCUAGUAAUCGCGGAUCAGCACGCCGCGGUGAAUACGUUCCCGGGCCUU